GAGAGCACAGGGGGUUUUCUGUAUGAGACUCAGUCUGUUACACUGAACCAAACCCUCAGUGCUGACUGUGAGCAGAGCUGGUAUUCACUGGACAGGCAUCUGAUCGCAGAUCCAUUAAAACCUCACGAACUGAUUGAUCCUGUGACGUCUGUCUCUUCUGAUCGUCUCGUCACGUCUCAGUGUGUGAAUCUGAAUCAUGAGAUCAUCUGUGAUUCUGCUGAUGGAACUCAUUUCAGUCGUGAGAGCGUGUUCAGAGUGAGGAAUGAAACUGCAGUGACUCCAGACUCAGAUGUUCUGAAUGAAGUGACUCUCCAGCUCUCGGAUCAUUGGCUGUGGAUUCUGGUUGUUUUUAUUUGUGUAGUCCUCAUCAUCAUCUUGAUCUGUUUCUUGUGGCAGA